rnacentral:rRNA from 1 species
GACGAACGCUGGCGGAGUGCCUAAUACAUGCAAGUAGAACGCAGUUGCGAACGGGUGAGUAACGCGUAGGUAACUGCCUGGUAGCGGGGGAUAACUAUUGGAAACGAUAGCUAAUACCGCAUACUACCAAAUGGACCUGCGUUGAAUUAGCUAGUUGGUGAGGUAACGGCGCACCAAGCAAACGAUACAUAGCCGACCUGAGAGGGUGCUCGGCCACGCUGGGACUGAGACACGGCCCAGACUCCUACGGGAGGCAGCCGUAGGGAUUCUGCGGCAAUGGGGGGAACCCUGACCUAGCAACGCGGCGUGAGUGAAGAGGGUUUUCGGAUCGUAAUGCUCUGUUGUUAAGGACGCGGUACUUAUCCAGAAAUGGACGGCUAACUACGUGCCAGCAGCCGCGGUAAUAC